rnacentral:lncRNA from 1 species
ACACUACCUUUAAUGUUAUGUGAUUGUUAAAAUAAUAUAGUGGAGACAUAAUAUAUAGGAGAACAUACAUGUGUAUAUUAUUCAUAUACACUUUGUCAUUUACAUGUACAUAUGAUUAUGUAUAUAAAUAAUAUAGGUGAAUAGUCAGCACCACAGGUAGAAGUUCUUGUAUAUUGUUAGCUGAAAAAAAGCAGGUUACACACUAGUAAGGUGUUCAUUAUAAACCCUAAUUCAUUUUUUGAGUACAUAUAUGCAUAGAGAGUAAUACUGUACAUACAUUGACAGCAGUGAUCUCAAGAGAAUCAUUUUCAUAUUGUACUAUUCGGUUCUCAGCAUCUUUUUGCUUUUCUCUGCAAUGAAUAUUUAUUACUUUGCAACAAGACAAAAUUUUUAUUUUAAGAAAUAUUUAUUUAAAGAAAAGAAUGCUCCACUUUGACUACUGCCGAUUAUAUCGUCCUAAGUUUAUCUCCGAAAUGUAAGUUCAGGAAGGUGAUCAGUGCAAAGUGAAUACGAGUUUAUGGAUGAAAAUACCUCCUCCAGAAGGUAGUAAAACAGAACAUCUGGUGACAAAAUCUCCACUCUGGAAAAAAAAAUGAGUGAAACAGGAGCAUAUGUUAAAGUAAGGGGCCAUAUUCAAGUCAUCUAAAUUUAGAGCCAGGAUUAAAGAAUUUUGGGAACAUUGUGAGAUGAGUAUUAUGAUUUAAAAAUAAAUUGGAUAUACAUAUAUAUAUUUUAAAGAUUUUAUUUAUUUAUUUGACAGAGAGAGAGAGAGCGCACAAGCAAGGGGGAGAAGCGGGCAGAGGCAGAAGCACGCUCCCCGCAGAGCAGGGACCCCGACGUGGGGCUCCAUCCCGGGACCCUGGGAUCAUGAUCUGAGCCAAACGCAGACCCUUAGCUGACUGAGCCACCCAGGGGCCCCCAAAAUAAAUUGUAUUUUAUAAGAUAUAAAAAUAAUAAAACUAUACAUUGUACAAAAGUAAGAGAAUGUAAACUCAUCAUCUGUAUCAGUCAGUUGAGAUGCUAUUUAAAGUUUAAACACAUGGUUAUAAUUAUCUGUUCAAUUUAAAAAUUUUCAUGACUUUAGUGCAGGUUUUCUCAAUCUCAACAGUAUUGGCGUUUUGAGCCAAAUGAUUCUUUGUUCAGAAGGCUGUCCUGUAUAUUGUAGGACGUAGCGACACCCCUGUCCUCUGCUCACUAGAAACCAGUAGUAUCUCCUCUUAUGCCCCUGUUGCGACAACUAGAAAGUCUCUAGAUAACGCCAAAAGUCUCUAGAGAGACAGCGCCUCUUGAGAACCACUGCCUUAGAGGUUUCAUCUAAGAAUAUUUUCUUGUAGGGGCACCUGGGUGGCUCAGUGGUUGAGCAUCUGCCUUUGGCUCAGGGCAUGAUCCCCGGGUCCUGGGAUCGAGUCCUGCAACAGGCUCCCUGCAUGGAGCCUGCUUCUCCCUCUGCCUAUGUCUCUGCCUCUCUCUGUGUGUCUCUCAUGAAUAAAUAAAUAGAAUCUUUUUUAAAAAAUAAUAUUUUCUUGUAAUUGGAAAAGUAAAUUAUCUAAAAUUUUAAAAAAAUAAUGAAGGACCAAGGAUGGCCUCCAAAGUCCCAUCUGGGUAUAAAAUAGGUUCUCUGUGUUCUCUCACCAGUCAGUUGGCUGUGGUCACCGUCCAGAUGGGCAAUCAUGGCGUGAGUGUCAGGUGGCCACUAGCAGGGUUGGAUCAGUCGGGUGGGGACUGGCAGGAAAGCUGCAAGGCUGGAAAACUAGCUCCAGCGACCCAGGAAGCCAGUGCUGGGAAGACGAGCUGUGGCCCCAGGACAGAGGGCAGGGGUCACAGCGAGGGCUUGGGAUGUAUGUGCUGCAACUUGCAGCCUCCCCAGGAGGUGUGGGCUUGGCUUCCUUCCCCUGGC